UUCCUUUAAAAAAAUAAAUACACCAUUUAAUAUUUUAAUAGUCAAAAUAGUAUGUUAACUGUAGUGACUUAGAAAACAGACAUAAGAAAGAAAGAAAGAAAGAAAGAAAGAAAGAAAGAAAGAAAGAAAGAAAGAAAGAAAACACAUACAUAAAAGCAAGGAAAUCACAAUUCCAGUCGAGGUGAAUUUCCUUUGCAUGUAUGUGCUGUAUUUGUUACAGAAUGUUUCUCCAUGUAAUUUGUCAUGUACAUUUUUCUAAAUCAUAUAACUAUUCUCUCUACAAUUCAUUAUGACUGUGCUCUACUUUAUAUUUAACCUCCAUUCCUUUAUUAUGCCCACCCCCAUCCUUUUUCAUGUAUUUUAAACAGUAGUUUAAAUGUCCACAUGGCUAGUCUUCAUGGCAAAAUCUUUGAGCAUAUCGGUAAUUACUUCAUUAAGAUAGAUCUCUAUAAAUGAGAUUUUUAAGUCAAAGGGCAUGAACAUUUUUAUGCUUUUAAUACAUAUUUUAUAUUCUGUUAUCCAUAAAGUUGAUGCUAAUUAUAAUUAGCUAGUUUGUGGGAGUGCCUAUUUUCCUAUAUUCUUCCCAGUACUAUUAAUUUUUUGUUUGUUUGAUUUAAUGCCUGUAUGACAGGCAAGCUUUUUGUUCAUUUUUUUUGUCUUGGUAGUUUAUAUUCUUUUGUGAAUUUAUUUGUAUACUUUGCCAAUUGUUUUAAAGCAGGCAUUCAUCUCUUAGUUAUGUGAUAAAUUCUUUACAUAUCUUUAUAUAUUGAGAUUGUUAGCUCUUAGUCAUGUUGUAAGUAGCAUGGUUUUUCAUGGUUUUUAUUCUGCUUAUAUUUUGCCACACAUAAGUUUGAAAUUGUUAUGUAGUCAGAGUUGUGAGUCUUCAUUUAUGAUUUCUGUCCAUUGAGAUAUGCUUAGAAAAAGUCCAUCUGUAACAGUAGUGCAUAAACUACCCUUUUAGCACUUCUGUAGGUUUUUUUAUAAACAUAUUUUUAAUCUAUCUGGAAUUUUUUUAAUAAUUAAGGUAUGAGGUAAGAAUCUAGCUUUUGCUGUUGUUAGGCUCACUUUCCCUCUACCAUUUAUUGAAUGGUCUUAUCUUUCCCGUUUCAUGGGAGAAUCCACCACUAUGUAAUACCUACAUAUACUCAGAUCUGUUUCUAAAUUUUGUAUUGUGUUUCAUCAGUCUGGUUGUGUGUAUCUUUGUAAGGUUACACUUUUAACCAUAAAGUUUUAAAUAUAUGUCAUUUAGCCCCUAGUAAUUCUUAACUUAAAAUUCUAGAAAUAUUUUGCUAUGAAGAAUUGAUAAAUGUAUCAACAGUUAAAAAUUAGUAUUAUUGAUGUCUUUUAAGAGCUUUUUAAAAAUCAUACUAAGUUGUUUAUAAAUUUACUUUAUCAGGAAUUUUCACAUGACAUGUUUGACAAACUACUGAUAUUUCUAAGGGUUUCAAAAUUUAAAUGCUGCCUUUUUUCCUGCCUAAAAAUGAUUCUGGUGAUGUUAGUAAUGUCUUUAAUUACUCAGAGUGAUUCUCAGUCCUAAGAUGCAUGUCUCCUGUCUCCCUCUAGUUGAGAAUCAAUUGCUGUAAAGUACUCUUGUCAUGUUUUAAAAUGUAAAAACCUGCAGAAUUUUACUUACGUUCUCCAGGUUCUGUUAGUUCCGUAGAAGAUGAAAGUACAUCACUGGUCUUUUGUUAUUUUGGUCACUUUGUUCUUUUGUUGAAAUCACUGCUGGAGUUCAAACCAGUUUCUAGGGCUUGUAUUCUUCGUCUUUCCUAUACCUUUUGCAGAUUGAAAUGAUGUGUUGUUUCUUCCUCUACUGUAA